GGAUGAACGCUGGCGGCGUGCCUAAUACAUGCAAGUCGAACGCUUUGUGGUUCAACUGAUUUGAAGAGCUUGCUCAGAUAUGACGAUGGACAUUGCAAAGAGUGGCGAACGGGUGAGUAACACGUGGGAAACCUACCUCUUAGCAGGGGAUAACAUUUGGAAACAGAUGCUAAUACCGUAUAACAAUGACAACCGCAUGGUUGUUAUUUCAAAGAUGGUUCUGCUAUCACUAAGAGAUGGUCCCGCGGUGCAUUAGCUAGUUGGUAAGGUAAUGGCUUACCAAGGCGAUGAUGCAUAGCCGAGUUGAGAGACUGAUCGGCCACAAUGGGACUGAGACACGGCCCAUACUCCUACGGGAGGCAGCAGUAGGGAAUCUUCCACAAUGGGCGAAAGCCUGAUGGAGCAACGCCGCGUGUGUGAUGAAGGGUUUCGGCUCGUAAAACACUGUUGUAAGAGAAGAAUGACAUUGAGAGUAACUGUUCAAUGUGUGACGGUAUCUUACCAGAAAGGAACGGCUAAAUACGUGCCAGCAGCCGCGGUAAUACGUAUGUUCCAAGCGUUAUCCGGAUUUAUUGGGCGUAAAGCGAGCGCAGACGGUUAUUUAAGUCUGAAGUGAAAGCCCUCAGCUCAACUGAGGAAUUGCUUUGGAAACUGGAUGACUUGAGUGCAGUAGAGGAAAGUGGAACUCCAUGUGUAGCGGUGAAAUGCGUAGAUAUAUGGAAGAACACCAGUGGCGAAGGGCGGCUUUCUGGACUGUAACUGACGUUGAGGCUCGAAAGUGUGGGUAGCAAACAGGAUUAGAUACCCUGGUAGUCCACACCGUAAACGAUGAGUGCUAGGUGUUUGAGGGUUUCCGCCCUUAAGUGCCGCAGCUAACGCAUUAAGCACUCCGCCUGGGGAGUACGACCGCAAGGUUGAAACUCAAAGGAAUUGACGGGGACCCGCACAAGCGGUGGAGCAUGUGGUUUAAUUCGAAGCAACGCGAAGAACCUUACCAGGUCUUGACAUCCCUUGACAACUCCAGAGAUGGAGCGUUCCCUUCGGGGACAAGGUGACAGGUGGUGCAUGGUUGUCGUCAGCUCGUGUCGUGAGAUGUUGGGUUAAGUCCCGCAACGAGCGCAACCCUUAUUACUAGUUGCCAGCAUUCAGUUGGGCACUCUAGUGAGACUGCCGGUGACAAACCGGAGGAAGGUGGGGAUGACGUCAAAUCAUCAUGCCCCUUAUGACCUGGGCUACACACGUGCUACAAUGGCGUAUACAACGAGUUGCCAACCCGCGAGGGUGAGCUAAUCUCUUAAAGUACGUCUCAGUUCGGAUUGUAGGCUGCAACUCGCCUACAUGAAGUCGGAAUCGCUAGUAAUCGCGGAUCAGCACGCCGCGGUGAAUACGUUCCCGGGUCUUGUACUCACCGCC
rnacentral:rRNA from 1 species